UACGUAGGGCGCAAGCGUUGUCCGGAAUUAUUGGGCGUAAAGAGCUCGUAGGCGGUUUGUCGCGUCUGCUGUGAAAACUCGAGGCUCAACCUCGGGCUUGCAGUGGGUACGGGCAGACUAGAGUGCGGUAGGGGAGACUGGAAUUCCUGGUGUAGCGGUGGAAUGCGCAGAUAUCAGGAGGAACACCGAUGGCGAAGGCAGGUCUCUGGGCCGCAAGCUGACGCUGAG
rnacentral:rRNA from 1 species